rnacentral:rRNA from 1 species
GUCGAGGGGUAUGGGCUUUCGGGCCCGAGACCGGCGCACGGGUGCGUAACGCGUAUGCAAUCUACCUUUUACAGCGGGAUAGCCCAGAGAAAUUUGGAUUAAUACCACAUAGUAUUAUGAAAUGGCAUCAUUUUAUAAUUAAAGUCACAACGGUAAAAGAUGAGCAUGCGUCCCAUUAGCUAGUUGGUAAGGUAACGGCUUACCAAGGCGACGAUGGGUAGGGGUCCUGAGAGGGAGAUCCCCCACACUGGUACUGAGACACGGACCAGACUCCUACGGGAGGCAGCAGUGAGGAAUAUUGGACAAUGGGCGCAAGCCUGAUCCAGCCAUGCCGCGUGCAGGAUGACGGUCCUAUGGAUUGUAAACUGCUUUUAUACAGGAAGAAACCCUUGCUCGUGAGCAAGAUUGACGGUACUGUAAGAAUAAGGAUCGGCUAACUCCGUGCCAGCAGCCGCGGUAAUACGGAGGAUCCAAGCGUUAUCCGGAAUCAUUGGGUUUAAAGGGUCCGUAGGCGGUUUAGUAAGUCAGUGGUGAAAUCCCAUCGCUCAACGGUGGAACGGCCAUUGAUACUGCUAGACUUGAAUUAUUAGGAAGUAACUAGAAUAUGUAGUGUAGCGGUGAAAUGCUUAGAUAUUACAUGGAAUACCAAUUGCGAAGGCAGGUUACUACUAAUGGAUUGACGCUGAUGGACGAAAGCGUGGGUAGCGAACAGGAUUAGAUACCCUGGUAGUCCACGCCGUAAACGAUGGAUACUAGCUGUUCGGGAGCAAUCCUGAGUGGCUAAGCGAAAGU